rnacentral:ncRNA from 1 species
GAGAGCCGUGUGAUGGGUGACUAUCCAGCACGGUUAAGAGAGCACUUUUAGUCUGCUCUGGUGAAUGGAAGCCCCCUAUCAUGCAAUAAGGAAGCAGCUCUUCUCACAGCGGAGUCACCGUUGACUUUAU